rnacentral:rRNA from 1 species
GGUCAAGCUACAAAGGGCGCAUGGUGAAUGCCUUGGCACUAGGAGCCGAUGAAGGACGUGAUAAGCUGCGAUAAGCUUCGGGUAGGCGCAAAUAGCCUGUGAACCGAAGAUUUCCGAAUGAGGAAACUCUCAUGGGUAACCCCAUGAACUGUAUACUGAAUUCAUAGGUAUAUAGAGGUAAACCCGGGGAACUGAAACAUCUAAGUACCUGGAGGAAGAGAAAGAAAAAUCGAUUUCCUUAGUAGCGGCGAGCGAAACGGAAAGAGCCCAAACCGGAAACUUGUUUCCGGGGUUGCGGUCAGAUCAUUAAGGCUUUAUAUCUUAACCGAAGAUUUCUGGAAAGUUAAACCAUAGAAGGUAAUAGUCCUGUAGGUAAAAAGAGAAAAAAGCCCGAUCUGUACCAGAGUACCACGAGACACGUGAAACCUUGUGGGAAGCUGGGAGGACCACCUCCCAAGGCUAAAUACUACCUAGUGACCGAUAGUGAAGAAGUACCGUGAGGGAAAGGUGAAAAGAACCCAGGAGGGGAGUGAAAUAGAACCUGAAACCGUGUGUCCACAACCGAUCAAAACACGUUAAUGUGUGAUGAUGUGCUUUUUGUAGAACGAGCCAGCGAGUUACGGUAUGCAGCAAGGUUAAGCACUUAAGGUGCGCAGCCGAAGGGAAACCAAGUCUGAAUAGGGCGUAUAGUUGCAUGCUGUAGACCCGAAACCGGGUGACCUAUCCAUGGCCAGGGUGAAGCGGAAGUAAAAUUCCGUGGAGGCCCGAACCACAAUGGUGUUGAAAAACCAUGGGAUGAGCUGUGGAUAGGGGAGAAAUUCCAAUCGAACUCGGAUAUAGCUGGUUCUCCUCGAAAUAGCUUUAGGGCUAGCGCCAUGAAUGAGUACCGGAGGUAGAGCACUGAAUGAGGUAGGGGCUGACAACAGUUACCGAACUUUAUCAAACUCCGAAUGCUGGAUACUUGAAUCAUGGUAGUCAGACUGCGAAUGAUAAGAUCCGUAGUCAAAAGGGAAACAGCCCAGAUCACCAGCUAAGGUCCCAAAAGUAUAGAUUAAGUGGUAAAGGAUGUGGGAUUUCUAAGACAACUAGGAUGUUGGCUCAGAAGCAGCCAUACAUUAAAAGAGUGCGUAAUAGCUCACUAGUCAAGAGAUCCUGCGCCGAAAAUGUCCGGGGCUAAAAUCUAACACCGAAGCUGUGAACUUGUACUUCGUACAAGUGGUAGAGGAGCAUCCUGUAUGGGCUGAAGUCGUACCGAAAGGAGCGGUGGACUGUACAGGAGAGAGUAUGCUGGCAUAGUAGCGAGAACUAAGUGAGAAUCUUAGUGGUCGAAAACCUAAGGUUUCCUGGGGAAGGUUCGUCCGCCCAGGGUAAGUCGGGACCUAAGCCGAGGCCGAAAGGCGUAGGUGAUGGACAAUCGGUUGAUAUUCCGAUACCGCAGAGUAACGUUAUGAGAAAUGGGAUGACGCAGGAGGAUAGGAUAUGCGUACGUUAUUGGAAGUACGUCUAAGCACUGAGGAUGAAAGAUAGGAAAAUCCGUCUUUCGUUAAGUCUGGGGUGUAAUGGUGAGGUA